GGCGGUUUGGGUUUAUUUUUGGAACCCGGUGGGCGACCCCUUGGCCGUCGGACCACCUCGAUGGUGGAACCAUCAGCGGUGGAAGUUAGCUCCGGGCGGUGUUUAAAGGGGGAAGGCACGGCGGCGGUGGGCUCGUCGGCGGGUUGUUGCGGCGGAGGAUGGUGGGAAAAAGGGUGGGCGGAGAGAUGGAAUUUGGAUAACAUAUUGGAAGUUUUGCUCUUG
rnacentral:misc_RNA from 1 species